UGAGUAACCUGCCCUUAACUCUGGGAUAAGCCUGGGAAACUGGGUCUAAUACCGGAUAUGACUCCUCAUCGCAUGGGUGGGGGGUGGAAAGCUUUAUUGUGGUUUUGGAUGGACUCGCGGCCUAUCAGCUUGUUGGUGAGGUAAUGGCUCACCAAGGCGACGACGGGUAGCCGGCCUGAGAGGGUGAUCGGCCACAUUGGAACUGAGACACGGUCCAGACUCCUACGGGAGCAG
rnacentral:rRNA from 1 species